AAAAACAAAACCCCCCAACGCGUAAAUGCACCCAUUCCUCUUUUCUAUUUGCCUUUUCCAUUUACCCCCUUCUGUCUUUUGAUUCGCUGUGCACGUUCUGCCCAUCUCCCUCUCUCUCUCAUCUCUAAACUAAAAACCCACCUCAAUAUACACAAAACCCGAACACCAUGAGCUAUCACCGGUAACGCCCACCUCCGAGCCCCAACCCGAGCCAAACCCGGCCCAGUCCAGGCGCACCGCCAUUAGAAUCCGGCCCAUACAACAUAAUCCCCAUCCACAACCUCCUCGCGGAGCACCCAUCGCUCAGAUUCCCGGAGGUCCGAGUCAUUACCACCGCGCUCUGAGCUGUCGACGACCUCAGGAAGCCGCCGCACAACCAAUGGCCAGUUUUUCAUUGUUCUUGUCUCUUGAUGCAAGUUGUUAUUGGUAUAACCAAAACACUACAGCGAUACCAGCAAUCUUGCUUCGCUCCUCAGGAUAACAGCAUGAAACGUGAAGCACAGAAGGAUUAGGUGCAAACGGUAGGAUGGUUAAGGAAUUGAAGAAGUUACUUCCAUAUCUCAGGUCCAACCUCGGUGCACACUGCAAUGAUGGUACUAGUAGAGAUGAAGAGGACAACUCAGUCAAUAACAUGAGGGAGGUUGAAAACAGCUUGGAGGGUAACUCAGAGGAAAACUAGUUCAGGAUUUUUUUGUAUAUUCUAUAUUUUAAAGUUUGAACUUAUAUGAAUUUUUACCUUUCAACUGAUCAA